rnacentral:rRNA from 1 species
GGGCCCGCACAAGCGGUGGAGCAUGUGGUUUAAUUCGAUGCAACGCGAAGAACCUUACCAGGGCUUGACAUACUACAAAUCCUUUUGAGAAAAAGGAGUGCCUUCGGGAAUGUAGAUACAGGUGGUGCAUGGCUGUCGUCAGCUCGUGUCGUGAGAUGUUGGGUUAAGUCCCGCAACGAGCGCAACCCUUAUUUUUAGUUACCAAUUCGUUGGGUUCUCUAGAAAGACUGCCGGUGACAAACCGGAGGAAGGUGAGGAUGACGUCAAGUCAGCAUGCCCCUUAUGUCCUGGGCUACACACGUGCUACAAUGGCUAAGACAAAGAGUCGCGAGCUUGCAAAAGUCAGCUAAUCUCAUAAACUUAGCCUAAGUUCAGAUUGUAGGCUGCAACUCGCCUACAUGAAGUUGGAAUCGCUAGUAA